rnacentral:rRNA from 1 species
UCGACGAUGUUACUUUGAGUAAAUUAGAGUGUUCAAAGCAAGCUGUCGCUNUGAAUAUGAUAGCAUGGGAUAACCCGACAGGACUCUGGCCUAUCGUGUUGGUCUGUAGGACCGGAGUAAUGAUUAAGAGGGACGGUCGGGGGCAUUCGUAUUCCAUUGUCAGAGGUGAAAUUCUUGGAUUUAUGGGGGACGAACAAUUGCGAAAGCAUUUGCCAAGGAUGUUUUCAUUGAUCAAGAACGAAAGUUGGGGGCUCGAAGACGAUUAGAUACCGUUGUAGUCUCAACCAUAAACGAUGCCGACUCGGGAUUGGCGGGUGUUUAUUCGAUGACUCCGCCAGCACCGUAUGAGAAAUCAAAGUUUUUGGGUUCCGGGGGGAGUAUGGUCGCAAGGCUGAAACUUAAAGGAAUUGACGGAAGGGCACCACCAGGCGUGGAGCCUGCGGCUCAAUUUGACUCAACACGGGAAAACUUACCAGGUCCAGACGUAGGAAGGAUUGACAGAUUGAUAGCUCUUUCUUGAUUCUUAUGGGUGGUGGUGCAUGGCCGUUCUUAGUUGGUGGGUUGCCUUGUCAGGUUGAUUCCGGUAACGAACGAGACCUCAGCCUGCUAAAUAGUCACGGCUGCAUCCGCAGCUGGCAAACUUCUUAGAGGGACUGUUGGCGACUAGCCAACGGAAGUGUGAGGCAAUAACAGGUCUGUGAUGCCCUUAGAUGUUCUGGGCCGCACGCGCGCUACACUGAUACGUUCAACAAGUUCCUUGGCUCGAAAGGUCUGGGUAAUCUUUGAAACCGUAUCGUGAUGGGGAUAGAACAUUGCAAUUAUUGUUCUUCAACGAGGAAUGCCUAGUAAUCGCGAGUCAUCAUCUCGCGUUGAUUACGUCCCUGCCCUUUGUACACACCGCCCGUCGCUCCUACCGAUUGGAUGUGCUGGUGAAGACUUCGGAUCGGCCACGCUAACUAGGGCCACCUAGUUAUGGGGUUGAGAAGUUGUUUAAACCCUCCCAUUUAGAGGAAGGAGAAGUCGUAACAAGGUUUCCGUAGGUGA